rnacentral:lncRNA from 1 species
UGGGUUUGGCCGCCGACUCCGCCGAUCUCCCCACUAGGUCCAAGCGGGCACAAGUAGAUAAUCGAUAGAUAGAUAGAUAAGUAAAGCUGUAAAGACAUGAAAGUGAAGCUACACUACUAUGCCCAAUCAUAGAUACAUGAAUGCAUGUUCAAUAGAACGGUAAGCAACUAACCUGUCGUCAUGUCAACGGUAAAGCUAUGUACUUGUUCGUCAAUGUCAUUUACUUGCUUCUUAAUCUCAUGGCUUCCCUGACGGAGCCUACUGCUCACUAGCCAUCUCGAAGGUAGGGAGGGUCAACUCGCACUACGAACCGAGACCGUCUGCCGGGGCCUAAAUAGGCAACCCUUGGGACCCAAAAUAGGCGAUCCCACGUGACCAACAUCCGGAGCGCACUACUUGUGUGGGGCUUCCAUCACAAGAUUUAGAAACAGGCCGUGAGCAUGAUCCAAUCCUCGUCUCGAGAAUACCCUAUCCUCUAGGGUUACAAUCAUCAUAUAGUCCAUAGGUUCCAUAUACACUACGACUCACAUAUGUCACUCGUUCUUUCGCUUAUUCACUAUCAACUAGAUGCCACUCGUUCUUUACAAGUUUCCAAUGCAAUAGCCAAUACAUUACUAAACUCUCAUUCACACGUAUCAUCUCAUUAUAGGGUUCCACAUCACAUAUAUAAACCUCAAGCAUGCUGAAUAUAAGUGCCAAGCCCAAAUACAUUAUUCUACCAAAGAACAUGCAAGGUAUAGGACCAAAUCACCAUUUAUCCCCCUAUAAUGCAGAUGUCAAUAUAUCAAUAUGCAAUUUGAUCAAUAUAGAGCUUAGACAUAAAAGGGAGCCCGAUUGCUUCGGGAUGGACACCACCCACCUCUUGGCGAUGCCGCGAUGGUAGAAACUCGGCAUUGGGGUUCUUGCGCGUCGCCCUAACUCCUCGGGGCGAAGCGAGCCCUCUAGUACCCGAUUCGGCGAUUUCUCCGCACCCGCUCGUCGGAUCGAGAAACCGACUUCGCCGAUGCGUUCCGGGACCUAGCAAUUAGGUUUGCGACCUAAUAGAUUAGAUCAACACCCUAGAUUUCCAAAAUCCCCAAAUCCGUGCCCUAGAAUAGCAACGGGGGAGAAAUCCGGGGUGCAAGCUUCGAUUGCGAGCUCGAACCUUCUCCCUAGUUCCAUNCGGAGCGUCGCCGCUCUUAACCUUCCUCGCCGCCGCACGCGGCCGCCUCGUCCUCGCGGGGCUCCGCAGCGGGCCCGACCGCACUCCGCUGCCGCCGCCACCGGGGGCCCGCUCAUCAUCCUCGACGCCGCUGCCGCCGCCACCUUCGCCGCCCCCACCUACCCGAUCUCGAGCCCCACCUAUGCCGAGAAGGUGGGCUGCCGAGGCGGUGCUACACGAUGCCGCAGGGAGGAGAAAGAGGAGAAAGAAUGAGGAAGAAGAGUAAGAAAUAAAAAUAGUGUAAAUUGAAGGAAGAAGAAGAAAAAAAAUAGUGUAAAUUUCACCUAAAUUGUCACGCCCCGAAAGCGAUACCAAUUUGGUUCGGCCCGGGCGCGUCGAACAGACGCCGAACGGACAGGACCUCCCCUGUCCGUCCAAGGCUAACCAACAGAUCGUGCAUAAGAAUUUACCCAGGAAUCAAUUCAUAAAUACACGAUCAAUAAGCACCACUAGUGCUAUAAACAAGAGCAAGAUACAAGUAUAGAAACAUAUACAAGUACAUAAGAGAGAAGAGACUAUCUAUUACAUUCAUUUGAUUUACUACAUUUAGAUACAUCUUUUACAUUCUUCCAAAAUAUAAAUACAAGCACUCAACCCUCACCCUAUACAACAUCUACUCUCAAAUACAAAAGGGGUGACGGCUAAUGCAAGAAAAGGAGGUAGCUAAUGCGACUAGAACGCCGGGCCCUUACCGCGAUCCUCACGCUCACCGGGGACGCCCGAACUGGAACCUGUGGUAAAAUGGGGGUGAGAACUAACUUCCUUAGUUCCCAGUGGGUUCGGCCGCCGACUCCGCCGAUCUCCCCACUAGGUCCAAGCGGGCAUAAGUAGACAAUCGAUAGAUAGGUAGAUAGAUAAGGAAAGCUGUAAAUGGCGGAAAUGAAGCUACGCUACCAUGCCCAAUCAUAAGUAUAUGAAUGCAUGUCCAAUGAAAUAGGUAAGCAACUAAUCUGUUAUCAUGUCCAAGGGUGAAGCUAUUCACUCGUUCAUUAACCUCAUUUACUUGUUCAUUAAUCUCAUGGCUUACCCGAAGGCUCGCCUACAGCUCACUAGCCAUCUCGACACGUAGGGAGAAUCAACUCACACUACGGACCCGAGACCGUCUGGCGGGGCCAUAUAGGCAAUCCCUGGCGUGACCAACAUCCGGAGCGCACUACUUGUGUGGGGCUUCCAUCACAAGAUUUAACAGACCGUGAGCAUGAUCCAAUCCUCUAAGCUCGAGGAUACCCUGUCCUCUAGAGUCACAAUCAUCAUAUAGUCCAUAGGUGUCGCAUACACUAUUAACUAGAUUGUCCGUUUGUCCGCUAUCGACUAGAUGCCACUCGUUCAUAGUUUACUAUUAACUAGAUGCCACUCGUUCAUAGUUCAUCAUUUUCUCUACAUCAUAGGAUUCACAAUCUCGACCCAAUCCUUAUCAAUCCAAUAUAUCAAUUAUCCGAUGUACGCUACGAUACCAUGAAGGAAAAACAUAAGGAAAGGCAAUGCAUACUAAUCCUAUAAUGCAAUAAUACAAGAUGCAAGAUCAAAUAUACUAAGACAUAGGAGGGAGCCCGAUUGCUUCGGGAUGGACACCACCCACCUCUUGGCGAUGCCGUGAUAGUAGAAAACUCGACGUUGGGGUUCUUGUACGCCGCUUCAACUCCUCGGGGCGAAGCGAGCCCUCGAGUACCCGAUUCGGCGAUUUCUCCGCACCCGCUCGUCGGAUCGAGAAACCGACUUCGCCGACGCGUUCCGGGACCUAGCAAUUAGGUUUGCGACCUAUUAGAUUAGAUCAAAACCCUAGAUUUACCAAAAACCCAAUUCCGUGCCCUAGGAUGGCAACGGGGAAGAAAUCCGUGGUGCGAGCUUCAAUUGCGAGCUCGAACCUUCUCCCUAGUUCCAUUAGGUCCCAUUCAAACCAUAAAAACCCCAAAACCCUAGAAACACCAUUAAAGGGUUUAGAGCUUACCCCUACACAAGGUUCCUUCAAGCUUGAGGGAGAGGGAGAGAAGAAGAUAUCUUCUUCUUCUUCUUCUUCUUAGUCUUCUCUUUCUCUUUCUUCUUCUUUCUCUUCUUCUUCUCCUUCCUCUUCUUCUUCUCCUUCUUCUCUUUCUUUUCUUUUCUUUCCUAGAGAGAGGAGAAUAGUGAGAGAGAGAGAGAGGAAGAGAGCAACUGAGGGAGAGAGAGGGGUCCCCAAGCCCUAUUAAAGGCCAUUUUGCAACUAGCCCCCUCAACUUUUCAUCUUUAGAAUCAGCCCUCAUUGGGCAUUUUCGCAGUGAGGGACCGGUCUCCCCGACUUGGGACCGGUCCCCGAAGGCUGCCAUUUCGAGCAGAGGGGUUUUCGCGUUCGGGAACCGGUCCUUGCCUGAGAGACCGAUCCCCGGGAGACCGGUCCUAGUCCGAGAGAUCGGUUCCCGAAAGCUGAGUUUUCGGGACUUAGCCAAAUUUCGGCUAUUUUCGCUGGGCCAACGUUCGGGAACCGGUCCCUGCCUGCCAGGGACCGGUCUCAUCAUAGACCUCCGCAGCCCAGCCUGAUGGGACCGGUCCCUCCCUGCCAGGGACCGGUCCCCGAGAGCAUUUCUGCUCCAGUGCAAGUUUUGCAUUGGUGCUCUCGCGGACCUUUCCUUAAUGCACUUUAUGCACUAUAAUCACCUUCGCACUUUCCGAAGCUUACGCACUCGACAACUAGUCGAUUCUAAUCGAAGUCUAAUCCUCGAGUUUCGAGAAUUCACUUCCUUACAUCCUUCCCACCUUAAAAGAGUUUCGUCCUCGAAACGAACUCAAUACUACAAAAACUUAAUUAGAAUUUCAAAUUCUAAGCUCAUACCUCGAUUUAGCCUUCGAAUAGGCGAUGAUGAUUCGCCUUCAUCUCCUCCUCAAGCUCCCAGGUGGCUUCGCGAUCAUCAUGAUUGCUCCACCGGACUCGGACAUAAGGAAUUUCUCGAUUCCUUAGCUUGUGCACUUCACGAGCGGUAAUCGCCACCGGAAAUUCCUCGUAGCUCAAGUCCUCCUGAAGUUCCGGCGGCUCGUACAACAUUGCGUGCUCGGGAUCAGGUAUGUACUUGCGCAAAUUGGAGACGUGGAAUACGUUGUGCACAUCUGCAAGCUUUGGCGGCAACGCGAGCCGAUAAGCCACCGUCCCAAUCCGCUCCAAGAUCUCGUAGGGGCCAAUGUAUCGGGGACUUAAUUUUCCCCGAACUCCAAAUCGUUUUACACCCCUCAUAGGCGAGACCUUUAAGAAGACGCGGUCGCCCACCGCAAACUCUAGAUCCCGUCGGCGCCUGUCCGCAUAGCUCUGUUGUCGAGAUUGCGCCGUGAGUAACCGCUUGCGAGCAAGGCGGACCUUUUCUUCCGCUUCCCGCAGCACAUCGGGGCCAAAUUCCGUGCGCUCGCCCACGUCACUCCAAUAAAUGGGAGAGCGGCACUUCCGCCCAUAAAGAGCUUCGAACGGUGCCAUCUCCACACUAGCGUGAUAACUGUUGUUGUAGGCGAACUCGACCAUUGGCAAAUACUUACACCAACCUCCUUUGUAAUCGAUGACACACACUCGCAACAUAUUCUCCAGAGUCUGAAUGGUUCUUUCAGUUUGUCCGUCUGUCUGGGGAUGAAAUGCAGUACUGAAAUUGAGCCGCGUGCCAAGGGCCUCCUGCAGGCUUUUCCAGAAAUGUGAGGUAAACUUGGGGUCUCUAUCCGACACAAUCGACUUUGGUACCCCGUGUAACCUCACUACUUCGUCGAGAUAUACCUGUGCCAACUUAUCUCCCGCCCAGGUGGUGUGGACCGGCAAAAAAUGCGCUGACUUCGUCAAGCGAUCCACAAUCACCCAGAUUGCGUCAUGGCCCCCCGUUGAGCGAGGUAAGCCAACGAUGAAGUCCAUAGAUAUGUCCUCCCAUUUUCAGACGGGAAUAGGUAGGCUUUGAAGCUUUCCCGCUGGAAACCGGCGCUCCACCUUUACUUGCUGACAAGUCAAACACUUCGUCACGAAGCGCCCAAUAUCAGCUUUCAUCCCCGGCCACCAUAGAGUGCUUUCAACUCAUGAUACAUCUUGGUGCCGCCUGGGUGAUCCGCGUAUGGAGACCGGUGGGCUUCCUGCAAGAUCAGCUAGGGAAGCUCUUCAUUCUCGGGCAUGCACCAUCGGUUUCGAAACCGAAGCGCGCCACCGGCGUCCACACUAAAAUUGCCAUCUCGUCCUUCCUCGAUAUUGCGCCGCACUCUUUGGAGACUCGGAUCUGCAAGUUGCAAUUUCUUGAUCCUCUCCAAUAAUGUUGGUUGAAUAAUGAGCGCCAUCAACUGAGCCGGGACCUCGGGAGCGACCACUUCGAGGUCCAAUCGCUCCAUCUCCAGCCCUAGGGGCGCUUGCCGGGUAACAUCAAAGGCGAGGUUCUUCGCCGACUUUCUGCUAAGUGCCUCCGCGACCACAUUUGCUUUGCCGGGGUGGUAGAGAAUGUCAACGUCAUAAUCAAGUCUAUAACGAACUCGAUCUCCUGAUCCGGCGGCAUCCCCGCUAGCUCCGCGAGAAAUACAUCCAGGAAUUCCCGCACCACCGAUAGUUCCUCCAACUUCGGAGCUACUCGGUCCACUUCCACGACGGUCGCCAAAAAUGCUACGCAGCCGCCGUUAACCAACUUCCUAGCUCUCGUCGCUGAUACUGUCGCGACGAAGCAAGAACUCCGACAAGCUCGAUAAACGAACUCCCUCUGUCCUGGCUCCCGAAAGGUGAUUGAUUUAUUCUUACAAUCGAUCGUGGCGUAAUACCUUGAGAGCCAGUCCAUGCCCAAAAUGACGUCAUACGCCUCUAGUUUAGUAAGUUCCAACAUCCGGAUGGGCAUUAUCCAGUCACCCACUUGCACCGGACAUAACGAGCACUCCGUAUAGGUAUUAAAUGACGACUCGGGACCCUCGACUCGCCACUUGCCACUUGCUUCUAUAGGUAUGUCAUGCAUGCGUGCAAAUGCUCUACUAAUAAAUGAAUGUGUGGCACCCGUGUCGAACAUAGCUCUGGAGCGAACUCCAUUGAUUAGAACUAUACCUGCCACAACAUCAGGCUCCUCGGCUUGGGCAGGCUCCUCGGCAUGGGCCUGAGCGGCGAAUACCCGUCCGCUCGGCGCUGAUCGAGUCAUCUCCGGCUGGUGCGGCGCCAAUGCGCGUCCCGCCGAUACAGGAACAUACGGGGCCCCUCCUUGAUAGGGCGAGGGCGCUGGAGCCGACGCGACUGACGGAGUAGACGAGGCCCUUGCCGGACAGUCGCGGCUGAUGUGUCCUUCUUGUCCACAAUUAAAGCACCUUCCCUGUCGUUGUCUACACUGCGGUGCCCGAUGGCCUCGAUCUCCACAGAUAGGGCAACGCUGCGGCCCACGGCCCCACGACUGCGACCGCGGAUACUUCGGGGGCCUCCUCGAACUCGAUUGUCCCCCCGAACCGCCGCCCGAUCGCUUCUUCCCCUUGUCCUGGGAUCCGGCCAACAACUCACGUUCCUCUCGCACGCGGGCAUCUCCAUGCUCUGCCCAUAGCGCCUUAUUGAAGACCUCGGCGAAAGUCGUGAGCUGGAACAAUUGCACCGCUCUAUAUAUCCACGGCCGAAGUCCUUGCAAGAACCAUUCGGCCCGCUCCGCGUCAUCCUUAACCACGUCCGGGACGCAGUCUAUAAUGUGGGAGAACUCCUGUUCGUAGUCCGCCACCGGACGAUCCCCCUGUCUCAAUUUUCAAAACCUCUCCUUUAGCUUUCGCUUCUCGGUGUCGGGGAAAUAAUUUCCAAACAUCUCCUUCUUAAACUCCUCCCAGAGCAUCGGUGGAAGGUCACAGGGUCGAUCCCGCUUCAACCGCUUCCACCACACCUUCGCCGCCUUUUCGAGGCAAUGGGUGGCGAGGGGCACCUUAUCCUUCUCCGGGGUGUAUAGGUCCUCGAAGAGAGUCUCCAUAGAGUCUAUCCAAGACUCCACCACCGACGGCUCCACAUUUCCCCCUUCAAAAGUUGGUGGCUUAAACUUCAUAAACCUUAUUAGAGUCGUUAGCGCACGCUCCCGCUCCACUUCGUCGGCCGUCGUAUCGAGUGCCGCCGAACCCGAAGCUGUCGGAGGAGCACUUGUCGGCGGGGGAACUGCCGCCAUCGGAACUGCCGCUAUGCCCUCACCCUCGGUCGCUACCGGCGUGCGUGCCGAAGGUGCGGGCGGAUCGCGAUCUCCUGCCGCCGUCGCGGCCGCCGCCGCUGCCGCUUGCCGCUCCACAACUUCCUGGAGCUGCUCGAACCGAGCCUCCUGGCGCUGCAUCGCGCCCAACAUCGCAGCGACCUGCUCUCGCAGCUCCUGCACUUCCUCCGAUCUCGGCUGCUCGGGCUCCGCAGAAGGCGGUACCGGAGCAGACCUACGCACAUAACGCCUUGGGGACAUUUGCUCCUGAAAAGCAACAACUCAAUUAGUUAUCUUAAUCCGGUAACUUCCUCAACGUUCACGAAACUAAACGUCCCGACAACGAAAUCGGGCGGAAGCUCACAAGUGCUCUAGUGUUGGACUCUUAGUGUUGCGUCGUCGGCCGCCGACACAACCACUACAAGCCAGGAACUAGUGUCACUUGGAUUCGUCUCUAUUCACAGCUAGAGACACAACACCAACUUCGACCCAAUCAAUCAACUUCCGCCAUCGCCAUGGGUCACGUUCACUCACGUCCCUAUAACCUUAGGGUUUACCAACCUAGGGUCUCCUAGGUCAUCCUAGACACUCUCUUUACUUGCUCUGGUGCUCUGAUACCACUUUAUCUGUCACGCCCUGAAAGCGAUACCAAUUUGGUUCGGCCCGGGCGCGUCGAACAGACGCCGAACGGACAGGACCUCCCCUGUCCGUCCAAGGCUAACCAACAGAUCGUGUAUAAGAAUUUACCCAGGAAUCAAUUCAUAAAUACACGAUCAAGAAGCACCACUAGUGCAACGACCAAGAGCAAGAUACAAGUAUAAAAACAUAUACAAGUACAUAAGAGAGAAGAUAUAAUCUAUUACACUCAUUGGCUCAAUACAUUUAAGUACAUCUUUUACAUUCAUCCAAAAACAUAAGUACAAGCACUCAACCUCACCCUAUACAUCAUCUACUCUCAAGUACAAAAGGGUGACGGCUAAUGCAAAAAGGGAGGUAGCUAAUGCGACUAGAAUGCCGGGCCCUUACCGCGAUCCUCACGCUCACCGAGGACGCCCGAACUGGAACCUGUAGUAAAAUGGGGGUGAGAACUAACUUCCUUAGUUCCCAGUGGGUUCGGCCGCCGACUCCGCCGAUCUCCCCACUAGGUCCAAGUCGGGCACAAGUAGAUAAUCGAUAGAUAGAUAGAUAAGGAAAGCGGUAAAUGACAGGAGUAAAGCUACUCUACUAUGCCCAAUCAUAAAUAUAUGAAUGCAUGUACAAUGAAAUAGGUAAGCAGCUAACCUGUUAUCAUGUCCAAAGGUAAAGCUAUUCACUCGUUCGUUUACCUCCUUUACUUGUUCAUUAAUCUCAUGGCUUACCCGAAGGCUCGCCUACAGCUUACUAGCCAUCUCGAAGGUAGAGAGGGUCAACUCGCACUACGAACCGAGACCGUCUGGCGGGGCCAAAUAGGCAAUCCCUUGGGACCCAAAAUAGGCAAUCCCACGUGACCAACUCCGGAGCGCACUACUUGUGUGGGGCUUCCAUCACAAGAUUUAAAACAGACCGUGAGCAUGAUCCAAUCCUCGUCUCGAGAAUACCCUAUCCUCUAGGGUUACAAUCAUCAUAUAGUCCAUAGGUUCCAUAUACACUACGACUCACAUAUGUCACUCGUUCUUUCGCUUAUUCACUAUCAACUAGAUGCCACUCGUUCUUUACAAGUUUCCAAUGCAAUAGCCAAUACAUUACUAAACUCCCAUUCACACGUAUCAUCUCAUUA